rnacentral:ncRNA from 2 species
AUAAUGAUACUCCCUUAUAGCUACAGUUCGAGCGUUAAGAGCGUCGCAAGCAAUAGGUAGGGCUGCAUGAGAACCAUGCAGGGGUGAAAUUCCCGUGA